GUAACACCGGCAGCCCGAGUGGUGACCACUAUUAUUGGGUCUAAAGGGUCCGUAGCCGGUUUAAUCAGUCUUCUGGGAAAUCUAAUCGCUUAACUAUUAGGCUUCCAGGGGAUACUGUUAGACUUGGGACCGGGAGAGGUAAGAGGUACUGCAGGGGUAGGAGUGAAAUCUUGUAAUCCCUGUGAGACCACCAGUGGCGAAGGCGUCUUACCAGAACGGGUCCGACGGUGAGGGACGAAAGCUGGGGGCACGAACCGGAUUAGAUACCCGGGUAGUCCCAGCUGUAAACGAUGCUCGUUAGGUGUCAGGAACGGUGCGACUGUUUCUGGUGCCGAAGGGAGGCCGUGAAACGAGCCACCUGGGAAGUACGGCCGCAAGGCUGAAACUUAAAGGAAUUGGCGGGGGAGCACUACAACGGGUGGAGCCUGCGGUUUAAUUGGACUCAACGCCGGAAAACUCACCGGGGGCGACAGCAAUAUGUAGGUCAGGUUAAAGGUCUUACCUGAAUCGCUGAGAGGAGGUGCAUGGCCGUCGUCAGUUCGUACUGUGAAGCAUCCUGUUAAGUCAGGCAACGAGCAAGACCCGUGCCCACUGUUACCAGCAUAUCCUUUAUGGAUGAUGGGGACUCUGCGGGGACCGCUGCUGCUAAAGCAGGGGAAGGUGCGGGCUACGGUAGGUCAGUAUGCCCCGAAUCUCCCGGGCUACACGCGGGCUACAAUGGUUGGGACAAUGGGUAUCUACUCCGAAAGGAGUUGGCAAUCUCUUAAACCCAAUCGUAGUUCGAAUUGAGGGCUGUAACUCGCCCUUAUGAAGCUGGAAUCCGUAGUAAUCGCGUUUCAACACAGCGCG
rnacentral:rRNA from 1 species